UACAGAGGGUGCGAGCGUUAAUCGGAAUUACUGGGCGUAAAGAGCGUGUAGGCGGCCACACAGGUCUGCUGUGAAAACUCGAGGCUCAACCUCGAGCUGUCGGUGGAAACCGUGUGGCUAGAGUCCGGAAGAGGAGAGUGGAAUUCCCGGUGUAGCGGUGAAAUGCGCAGAUAUCGGGAAGAACACCCGUGGCGAAGGCGGUCCCCUGGGCCGGAACUGACGCUGAGGCGCGAAAGCGUGGGUAGCAAACGGG
rnacentral:rRNA from 1 species